AACGAACGCUGGCGGCAGGCUUAACACAUGCAAGUCGAACGGGCCCUUCGGGGUCAGUGGCAGACGGGUGAGUAACGCGUGGGAACGUGCCCUUCAGUUUGGGAUAACCCAGGGAAACUUGGGCUAAUACCGGAUACGUGCGAGAGCAGAAAGAUUUAUCGCUGAAGGAUCGGCCCACGUCUGAUUAGCUGGUUGGUAGGGUAAUGGCCUACCAAGGCGACGAUCAGUAGCUGGUCUGAGAGGAUGAUCAGCCACAUUGGGACUGAGACACGGCCCAAACUCCUACGGGAGGCAGCAGUGGAGAAUAUUGGACAAUGGGCGCAAGCCUGAUCCAGCCAUGCCGCGUGAGUGAUGAAGGCCUUAGGGUUGUAAAGCUCUUUCAGUGGGGACGAUAAUGACGGUACCCGCAGAAGAAGCCCCGGCUAACUUCGUGCCAGCCGCCGCGGUAA
rnacentral:rRNA from 1 species